rnacentral:rRNA from 1 species
UACAGAGGGGGCAAGCGUUGUUCGGAAUUACUGGGCGUAAAGGGCGCGUAGGCGGCCUGUUAAGUCGAACGUGAAAUCCCCGGGCUCAACCCGGGAACUGCGUCCGAUACUGGCAGGCUUGAAUCCGGGAGAGGGAUGCGGAAUUCCAGGGUGUAGCGGUGAAAUGCGUAGAGUAUCUGGAGGAACACCGGUGGCGGAAGGCGGCAUCCU